UACGAAGGGGGCUAGCGUUGCUCGGAAUCACUGGGCGUAAAGGGUGCGUAGGCGGUUCUAUAAGUCAGUGGUGAAAUCCGGCAGCUCAACUGUCGAUGUGCCAUUGAUACUGCAGAACUUGAGUACAGACGAGGUAGGCGGAAUUGACGGUGUAGCGGUGAAAUGCUUAGAUAUCGUCAAGAACACCGAUAGCGAAGGCAGCUUACUAGACUGUAACUGACGCUGAUGCACGAAAGUGUGGGGAUCAAACAGG
rnacentral:rRNA from 1 species